rnacentral:rRNA from 1 species
AUUGAACGCUGGCGGCAGGCCUAACACAUGCAAGUCGAACGGUAACAGGAAGAAGCUUGCUUCUUUGCUGACGAGUGGCGGACGGGUGAGUAAUGUCUGGGAAACUGCCUGAUGGAGGGGGAUAACUACUGGAAACGGUAGCUAAUACCGCAUAACGUCGCAAGACCAAAAAGGGGGACCUUCGGGCCUCUUGCCAUCGGAUGUGCCCAGAUGGGAUUAGCUAGUAGGUGGGGUAACGGCUCACCUAGGCGACGAUCCCUAGCUGGUCUGAGAGGGUGACCAGCCACACUGGAACUGAGACACGGUCCAGACUCCUACGGGAGGCAGCAGUGGGGAAUAUUGCACAAUGGGCGCAAGCCUGAUGCAGCCAUGCCGCGUGUAUGAAGAAGGCCUUCGGGUUGUAAAGUACUUUCAGCGGGGAGGAAGGGAGUAAAGUUAAUACCUUUGCUCAUUGACGUUACCCGCAGAAGAAGCACCGGCUAACUCCGUG